UAGGGAAUCUCCACAAUGGACGCAAGUCUGAUGGAGCAACGCCGCGUGAGUGAAGAAGGUUUUCGGACCGUAAAGCUCUGUUGUUGGUGAAGAAGGAUAGAGGUAGUAACUGGCCUUUAUUUGACGGUAAUCAACCAGAAAGUCACGGCUAACUACGUGCCAGCAGCCGCGGUAAUACGUAGGUGGCAAGCGUUGUCCGGAUUUAUUGGGCGUAAAGCGAGCGCAGGCGGAAGAAUAAGUCUGAUGUGAAAGCCCUCGGCUUAACCGAGGAAUUGCAUCGGAAACUGUUUUUCUUGAGUGCAGAAGAGGAGAGUAGAACUCCAUGUGUAGCGGUGGAAUGCGUAGAUAUAUGGAAGAAUACCAGUGGCGAAGGCGGCUCUCUGGUCUGCAACUGACGCUGAGGCUCGAAAGCAUGGGUAGCGAACAGGAUUAGAUACCCUGGUAGUCCAUGCCGUAAACGAUGAGUGCUAAGUGUUGGGAGGCUUCCGCCUCUCAGUGCUGCAGCUAACGCAUUAAGCACUCCGCCUGGGGGAGUACGACCGCAAGGUUGAAAC
rnacentral:rRNA from 1 species